UAGGGAAUCUUCGGCAAUGGGGGGAACCCUGACCGAGCAACGCCGCGUGAGUGAAGAAGGUUUUCGGAUCGUAAAGCUCUGUUGUUAAGGAAGAACGAGUGUGAGAAUGGAAAGUUCAUGCUGUGACGGUACUUAACCAGAAAGGGACGGCUAACUACGUGCCAGCAGCCGCGGUAAUACGUAGGUCCCGAGCGUUGUCCGGAUUUAUUGGGCGUAAAGCGAGCGCAGGCGGUUAGAAAAGUCUGAAGUGAAAGGCAGUGGCUCAACCAUUGUAGGCUUUGGAAACUGUUUAACUUGAGUGCAGAAGGGGAGAGUGGAAUUCCAGGUGUGGCGGUGAAAUGCGUAGAUAUAUGGCGGAACACCGGUGGCAAAAGCGGCUCUCUGGUCUGUAACUGACGCUGAGGCUCGAAAGCGUGGGGAGCGAACAGG
rnacentral:rRNA from 1 species